rnacentral:rRNA from 1 species
UACGGGGGGAGCAAGCGUUGUUCGGAUUUACUGGGCGUAAAGGGCGGGUAGGCGGCCACCGCAAGUCAGUUGUGAAAUCUCCGGGCUUAACCCGGAACGGUCAACUGAUACUGCGGGGCUAGAGUGCAGAAGGGGCAACUGGAAUUCUCGGUGUAGCGGUGAAAUGCGUAGAUAUCGAGAGGAACACCUGCGGCGAAGGCGGGUUGCUGGGCUGACACUGACGCUGGACUGCGAAAGCUAGGGGAGCGAACGGG